UAUUCAACAACAACAAGCAUGGCGCCCAUCAUGAAUAUUGACGAUUGCACAAUGAAUUUAUCGCAAAUUAGCAGUCUGACUAGCGUUGUAUCAAUGUUUAACGCACACCAACUUGUAAAAUUAACAUUUCGGGGCAUACUUCUGCACGAAAUACUUGGUGCGGUAACACAAAAAUGUGAAAAUUUCAAAAAUCUGAGCCCAGGAAAUUGAGGAUUUUCCAAAGUCUUUUUUUUCAAAUUCAAAAGUUGACGAAAGCCCAGUAAUUUCUCUCAUCCGCCGGCCUGAUCAAGUGUGAGUGGGACAAUCACCGUUACUACAUCGAGCCCAUCGCCUUCGACAUGCAGCUAGUCUAGAGAUACUGCAUCGACGUUAAGGCUAACUCCUCAAUCACUGAGGUACACAGGUUGAGUUAGCACAUCUGACAAGAUUGACCUUGACACAUAACAAGAUCACCAAUAUACCAUCGUCACUGACCAACUUGUACAAUCUGGAGUUCCUGAACUGUUUCAACAAUCAUAUCAAGGAAAUACAUCCAAAUAUCAGCAGCAUGACAAAAUUGAAGACCUUAAAUCUGGGCAUGAAUCGCUUGUGCACAUUGCCCCGAGGGUUUGGUGCGUUUCCUGUCUUAGAAGUGUUGUAUCUGACAUACAAUUAUCUCAACGAGACAAGUCUGCCACAGAACUUCUUUCAACUUGAUUCUCUACGUGCUCUUUAUUUGGGUGACAAUGACUUUGAGACCUUGCCACCCAAGAUCGGCAGACUGAAGAAUCUCCAAAUUGUAAGUGUGCCUUAAGUGUUGUUCAAGCCGAAGAAUCUCCAAAUUGUAAGUGUGCCUUAAGUGUUGUCCAAGCCGAAGAAUCUCCAAAUUGUAAGUGUGCCUUAAGUGUUGUCCAAGCCCAUGAAUCUCCACAUUGUAAGUGUGCCUUAAGUGUUGUUCAAGCCGAAGAAUCUCCAAAUUGUAAGUGUGCCUUAAGUGUUGUCCAAGCCGAAGAAUCUCCACAUUGUAAGUGUGCCUUAAGUGUUGUCCAAGCCCAUGAAUCUCCAAAUUGAAAGUGUGCCUUAAGUGUUGUCCAAGCCCAUGAAUCUCCAAAUUGUAAGUGUGCCUUAAGUGUUGUCCAAGCCGAAGAAUCUCCAAAUUGUAAGUGUGCUUUAAGUGUUGUCCAAGC